UACGGGGGGGGCAAGCGUUGUUCGGAAUUACUGGGCGUAAAGGGCUCGUAGGCGGCCAACUAAGUCAGACGUGAAAUCCCUCGGCUUAACCGGGAACUGCGUCUGAUACUGGAUGGCUGGAGUUUGGGAGAGGGAUGCGGAAUUCCAGGUGUAGCGGUGAAAUGCGUAGAUAUCUGGAGGAACACCGGUGGCGAAGGCGGCAUCCUGGACCAAUACUGACGCUGAGGAGCGAAAGCCAGGGGAGCAAACGGGAUUAGAGUACCCG
rnacentral:rRNA from 1 species